rnacentral:tmRNA from 1 species
GGGGGCGUAACGGCUUCGACGGGAUUGAAUCGUUGUGGCGUGGCGUGCCGGGUUCCGAGCUCCCGUAAAACGAUCGGAAAACCAAAACUGCCAACACGCAGUUUGCAUACGCCGCCUAAUCCAUAGGUGGCCGCCCCUGUUCUGAGGCCCGCAUCGGGGCAGAGCGGCGUCAUAUGGCGGGAUAGGCGAAGGGGCUUCCGCCUGUAGCUCUGAGCCGAGACCAAUCAGGCUGGGCGGCGCAAGGCUUGCCGGUUUCCAAGGCGCCGUCGAGAGCCAGAACCGGAUACGCACGUAGUCGCGUCACGGCGGGCUUUCUCGGACGCGGGUUCGACUCCCGCCGCCUCCACCA